GAGUUUGAUCCUGGCUCAGGACGAACGCUGGCGGCGUGCUUAACACAUGCAAGUCGAGCGGAAAGGCCCUUCGGGGUACUCGAGCGGCGAACGAGUGAGUAACACGUGGGCAACCUGCCCUUAGCUUUGGGAUAACCCUCGGAAACGGGGGCUAAUACCGAAUAUCCACUUCCUGUCGCAUGGUGGUUGGUGGAAAGUUUUUCGGCUAGGGAUGGGCUCGCGGCCUAUCAGCUUGUUGGUGGGGUAAUGGCCUACCAAGGCGACGACGGGUAGCCGGCCUGAGAGGGCGACCGGCCACACUGGGACUGAGACACGGCCCAGACUCCUACGGGAGGCAGCAGUGGGGAAUAUUGCACAAUGGGCGGAAGCCUGAUGCAGCGACGCCGCGUGAGGGAUGACGGCCUUCGGGUUGUAAACCUCUUUCAGCUCCGACGAAGCGAAAGUGACGGUAGGGGCAGAAGAAGCGCCGGCCAACUACGUGCCAGCAGCCGCGGUAAGACGUAGGGCGCGAGCGUUGUCCGGAUUUAUUGGGGGUAAAGAGCUCGUAGGCGGCUUGUCGCGUCGACUGUGAAAACCCGUGGCUCAACCAUGUGGUCUGCAGUCGAUACGGGCAGGCUAGAA
rnacentral:rRNA from 1 species